CCUACGGGUGGCAGCAGUGAGGAAUAUUGGUCAAUGGCCGUAAGGCUGAACCAGCCAAGUCGCGUGAAGGAAGAAGGAUCUAUGGUUUGUAAACUUCUUUUAUAGGGGAAUAAAGGUAUCCACGUGUGGAUAUUUGCAUGUACCCUAUGAAUAAGCAUCGGCUAACUCCGUGCCAGCAGCCGCGGUAAUACGGAGGGUGCGAGCGUUAUCCGGAUUUAUUGGGUUUAAAGGGUUCGUAGGUUGUUUUUUAAGGCCGCGGGUAAAGUUUGUGGGUCAACCAUAAAAUUGCCGUUGAAACUGGAAGACUUGAGAGUGUUAGAAGUAGGCGGAAUGCGUGGUGUAGCGGUGAAAUGCAUAGAUAUCGCGCAGAACUCCGAUUGCGAAGGCAGCUUACU
rnacentral:rRNA from 1 species